rnacentral:rRNA from 1 species
CAUCCGCUAUGAGAUGGACCCGCGGCGCAUUAGCUAGUUGGUGGGGUAACGGCCUACCAAGGCGACGAUGCGUAGCCGACCUGAGAGGGUGAUCGGCCACAUUGGGACUGAGACACGGCCCAGACUCCUACGGGAGGCAGCAGUGGGGAAUAUUGCACAAUGGGGGAAACCCUGAUGCAGCAACGCCGCGUGAGUGAUGAAGGUUUUCGGAUCGUAAAGCUCUGUCUUUGGGGAAGAUAAUGACGGUACCCAAGGAGGAAGCCACGGCUAACUACGUGCCAGCAGCCGCGGUAAUACGUAGGUGGCGAGCGUUAUCCGGAUUUACUGGGCGUAAAGGGAGCGUAGGCGGAUGAUUAAGUGGGAUGUGAAAUACCCGGGCUCAACUUGGGUGCUGCAUUCCAAACUGGUUAUCUAGAGUGCAGGAGAGGAGAGUGGAAUUCCUAGUGUAGCGGUGAAAUGCG